GGCGAGGAGAGAGUUUCUGGGAAAGUGCUGCUUAUGUAGUGCAGUUGCACAUACAGGAAGCCGGUGUUUCUCACCACAUCUGGUGUUAAUAGUGACGACCACACUGGAUCCAACACCUCUGAAUGUGAGCUUUGGGAAUAAGUUCUUCUGUGACCUUGGAGCGCUGCUAACCGAAGAGAGGAAGCGGAAAAUAAUGAACUCACAAAGGAUUUAUGAAUAUAUUAACAAGGCUCGCUGUUUGUCGGCUUUAUUUUUUUUACUUUUUGGAGCGGAUCAAAAAGCGCUUUUAAUUUCAGAUUCAAAUGGUUUCAGAGUUAAUGUCUUGAUGGGAUUUUAUGCGCGUGGAAUGACAAACGGAACAGAAAAUCCCCCGAAGGCCAUCAACACAAACCAGCAUCAAUGAUUCCAGCCAUCAAGGGCCUUCACGACUGGCAGAAAGUCCUUUAUUCUUUUCUGUGUUGUAUAUUGAAUUAUAGCGUGAAAUGCCAUUUCACUGUUAGAGGAGCCAAAUUUAUGCUUUGGGAUUAUAACUCAAAUAUAACCACAAAAAUAAAUGAUGCACAGCUUGUUAUUAAUUUA